rnacentral:lncRNA from 1 species
CGGAAAGGGAAAGGUUUUCAUUUUGUAUUUUAUUGCGCAGUACAUCUGCUUCUGGAUCGCGGAGACGUUGAUGCUCCGAGAAUAUUCUAUUAUUCUACAGUACGAGCAGUCGAGCCCACUUGAGAUGCAAUUUACCUUUUAAGCCCCACUUUUUUUUUUUUUUUUUUUUUUUUUUUUUUUUUUUUUUUUUUUUUUUUUUUUUUUUUUUUUUUUUUUCUUUCGUGUCCUUUUUGUUUGUUAUUUUCCUUU